UGUGACGGAGACGCUGCGGAUCAUCAGCUGUGGAGCAGAUAAGAGUGUUUACAUCCGCACCGCUCACAGGACGGUCCGAGGAGCUGAAUUCAAGCGGACUCAUCAUGUGGUUCGUAAAGCGACUCCUAAUGACAUGGAUGUGGAUCCCUCCUGCAAGUACGCGGCGGUGGGCUGUCAGGACCGCAGCAUUCGAGUUAUCAGCAUCAGCAGCGGCAAACAGAAGAGAUCCUUCAGCGGCUCUCAGACUGGAGACGGCGGUUUGCUGAAGGUCAGAUCACGCAGCUCAUCUAGUGCUCACCGUGAUUCAAACAAACACCCGACGUGUGUAGAAGCCGUUCCACACAUAGAACAAU